rnacentral:sRNA from 1 species
UGCCUAAACCAGUGAGUAAUCACUGGCAUGGCAUCAAAUCGUCGUAAACAGAAAACCUAUCAUUAGGCUCGUUUACGACGUCAUAUCGGGAAACCGGUAUGGGCCUUCGGGCC